UAUGGUAGAAAGAUUAGGAGGGAAUAAGAUGUAAAAAGAAAGAAAGAAAGAAAUGUGUGUUGUGAGGUAGUGGAGGGGUGGUUAGUGGAUUGUUGUGUGGUGUUGAAGAGUUGAAGAAAUGAAGAGAGAAAGGUCAAAGAGAAUUGGGUAAGCAUCACGAUCAAAUAGGUCCGAAAGAAGAGUGACGAAUUUAGUUGAAAGAAUGAAAUAAAAAAAAAUAUGGUAAAACCAAUUUGAAAGAGAGAAUGAGAUGUUUGAAUGGUUGCAUCAUAGAUUAUUAUGCCAAAGCUGUUCAUAUCUGAUCCCUUUGGACCACAAAUUUCAUUUCAUGACUUCAUAUUCGGCCCCACCACACCACUCAAAAAUUAUGCUUUUUCACCAUCCAAAGGAAUUUCAUCAUUAAUAAUAUCCCUAAUCUACUAUUACAUGCUUUUUAAUUAUCUUAUUCCACCAUCCUCACUCUCCUUCUUCUUUUUCCUACCCAUUCAUAUAUACUUCACACAUAAUUCAAAAAUUCAUAUUUAUCUAUCAUCUAUGCUUAUCCACACAAAAAUCCAAAA
rnacentral:lncRNA from 1 species